UACGGGGGGGGCAAGCGUUGUUCGGAAUUACUGGGCGUAAAGGGCUCGUAGGCGGCCAACUAAGUCGGAUGUGAAAUCCCCAGGCUUAACCUGGGAACUGCAUCCGAUACUGGAUGGCUUGAAUCCGGGAGAGGGAUGCAGAAUUCCAGGUGUAGCGGUGAAAUUCGUAGAUAUCGAGAGGAACACCGGCGGCGAAGGCGGCCAACUGGACGAAUACUGACGCUGAGACACGAAAGCGUGGGGAGCAAACAGG
rnacentral:rRNA from 1 species